GACCUGCGGAAGGAUCAUUGUCGAGACCCGAUGGUUAAAAUAGUAAACCGACGGUAAAUUUGUCAACCAAGUAUGUCGCCUCGAUAGGGUGCGUAGGAUUGAGUGGGAUUUCGGUGCCCUCUUUCCAGUUGCCCACAUCGGGUGGUUGUGUCAUCAUAUUGUUGCUCCCCGGCAAGGGAUGACGGUAGAUGAUUCGAUGAGCGUGGCACGGUGCGUGCCAAGGAUCUUCUCUGCUCGUGUAGCCUUGGCGUUGUGUUUUUGACGACCUUCGCUUGCUUACGGGUGCUAUCAGGAAGGCAUGUCUGUGAUGACUCUCGGCAACGGAUAUCUAGGCUCUUGCAUCGAUGAAGAACGUAGCGAAAUGCGAUACUUGGUGUGAAUUGCAGAAUCCCGUGAACCAUCGAGUCUUUGAACGCAAGUUGCGCCCGAGACCUUUAGGUCGAGGGCACGCUUGCCUGGGUGUCAUGCCUCGUGUCACUCCGUGUACCCGACGUCUUGGCGUCGGGAUAGAUGGACGUGGUGAUUGGCUAACCGUGCCUGUCAUGGUGUGGUGGGCUAAAGGACGGGAUGCCAAUAUGGCGUAUGGAAAUGACUAGUGGUGGUUUGGCAAUUUUAUUGGCCGAGACCGAUGUCGUCUCCCUCCUUUGGCACCCAUUGCAAACAACCCUUUGAAGGGACUGUGUUCUCUCGCAAUGCGACCCCAGGUCAGGCGGGACCACCCGCUGAGUUUAAGCAUAUCAAUA
rnacentral:rRNA from 1 species